GGUUCCAUGGUCCAGUGGUUAGGACGUUGGACUCUGCAUCCAAUAACCCGAGUUGAAAUCUCGGUGGGACCU